UUGUUUGGCAAUGUUUUUAUCUCUCCUUUAUUUUUGAAGAAUGUUUUUGCAGAGGUUAGUAUUCUUGAUUGGAAAGGUUUUUUUCCAGCAUUUUGAAUAUAUCACCGCACUUUCUUUUGGCCCCCAGGAAAAAAAAAAAAUCUGUUAAUAGUCAUGGGAGUUUUCUUACAUGUGACAAGCUGCCUUUAUCUUGCUGCUUUCAAAAUUCUCUGUCUUUGACUUUGACAAUUUUAAUAUAAUGUCUGUUGAUGUGUAUUUCUUUGGAUACAUCUUAUUUGAGACUAUUUGAGUUUCCUGGAUUUGAGUGUUCAUUUUGUUUCACAGAUAUGGGAAGUUUUCAGCUGUCUGGGGGUUUUUCAUAUAUGCUUUCUGGUUCUCCUUCUCCCCGCUCUCUCUCUCCUCUCUCCUCCCCCUGGAAAAUCUCUUGAUGUGAAUAUAGGUCUGCUUGAUGGUAUCAAAUAAGUUCCUUCAGCUUUCUUCAUGCCUUUUUUUUUAUUAUCGUUUUCUCUUUCGCUCCUUUGACUGAAUAAUUUUACAUGGCCAGUCUUUGACUUCACUGAUUCUUUCUUCUGCUUGAUCUAGUCUGCUGUUGAAGCUCCCUAGUAAAUGUUUUAGUGCAGUUAAUGUACCGUUAAGCUCCAGGAUCUCUGUUUGGUACCCUUUAAUAUUUUCUAUAUCUUUAUUGAAAUUCUCAUUUUGUUCAUGCAUUCUUUUGUUAACCUUGGUGAACAUACUUUAUGGCAGUUAUUUUACAUUCUCCAUCAGGUAUAUCAUAUAACUCAGUUUCCUCUGGGUCAGCUUCUGGAGCUGUAUUUUGUUCUUUUGUUUGGAACAUAUUUCUUGUUUCUUCAUUUUCCCUGACUCUAUGUUGGAGUCUUACACAUUAGACAAAACAGCCACCUCUUUCAUAUUGGCCUCAUACAGGAGAAGACCCUCACGAAUCAGCCUUGCUAGGGAUUCUAGGAGCCUUUUUAACCUUCGUGCACAUUCAAUCCCCUUUCUUUGUUCUUAGCAGCCCCCAGGCAUCUAGAGUGCACUAAGUCCUGUCAGCACUUCAAGAGAAGUGGUACUGAAGUCACUUCCACGGACAGGCUCCAGAAAAGUUGGAUCAUUGGACACUCUGUCAAACUGUUUCUCUUCCCUGGGAGGAUCUAAGAUCUGGGUUUUUGUUUUGUUUUGUUUUUUGUUUUCCUCUUUGCUGAUCCAGAGAAGGGGCUAUGAGAAGUAGAUAAAUGCUAGUUCGAACCAUCAUCUGUGUCCUCACUUGACCCCCAGCUGGGGUUGCCAUCAGCACUCAAGACAGGCGAGACAGAAGUCAGUCCUCUGGGUAGUCCCAAGAAAAUUGGGGUCAUUGGACAUGAGAUCCACUUGUUUUCACCUCCAGAAGAAGCUUGAAGGGAGAAGCUUGGAGCUAGGACUUUACCUCCCAAGUCUAUGGAGCUCUGACAGAGAUGAGAAAAGUGAGACCCGAGAAAUUAAGUGAUAUGCGCGAGACCUGCCCGAGAAGUAAUUGGAGCCCAGUACCCCUGAUGUGGGAGUGCUGCUCUCAAGGCACAGUGCUAUACUAUGGAAAGGGGAAUAAUGGAAGGCCAGUGCCUCAGAGGAAAUGUCUGAGAACGCAGCAGGACUCCAUACUGAUGUAAAGACCUGUGGUAGGAGAAACACAGCCCAGCCCUGAGUCAGACUAAACAUGGGAAUAUUUCUCAUGGAAUGGGGACAGAGCAGAGGACAAGGUGAUAAAGAAAUAAUAUCUCCUGGCCUGGUGCGGUGGCUCAUGCCUGUAAUCCCAGCACUUUGAGAGGCCAAAGCAGGUGGAUCACUUGAGGUCAGGAAUUCGAGACCAGCCUGGCCAACAUGUCAAAAACCUGUCUAUACUAAAAAUACAAAAGCCAGGCGUGGGGGCACAUGCCUGUAAUCUCUGCUACUCAGGUCUGAAGCAUGAGAAUUACUUGAACCUGGGAGGCAGAGGUUGCAGUAAGCUGACAUCGCGCCACUGCACUCCAGCCUGGGCAACAGAGUGAGACUCUGUCUCAAAAUAAAAAAUAAAAUAAAAUAAAAUAAAUAAAAUAAAAUAAAAUAAAGAAAUACUUUUCAUAAGUCAUGUGAUCCUUCAUACACAUUAGAAUCCUGUAAUAAAAUCCUAUACUACUUGUUUCAAAUAAUAAAUCAAAGUGUAUUUAAUGUCAUUUAGUCAAUGUUAAGGGAACAUCUCAUUAGGGACCCAUGAUUUUUUUCUGAUAAGCUGCCAUCACAGAAUGACUUCAAGUCGAUGGCCUUUACUGAAAUAAUUUCUAAUAUGUAUUUUAUACAAUUCAAUCUUAGCUCACGCCAUGCUUUAUAGAUAUAAACAUAUCUGUAAUCUGAUUAUGUCUUUUUCACCCACUUUCUUUCUGUAUUUUACACCUUCAUGGCUAAACUAACAUCAACUUUAAAAAUAUGGGCCACAGCUCCAUCCAACAUUAAGGUUUUAAUUGUUUUUCUUGCCCUCUUUAUAUGAGUGGUAUUGGUUUCAUGUGAUCUUAAAAAUUUUGCUACUUUAUCCGAUGUGUAUGUGUGUGUGUGGGUGUGGCUGUGUGUGUGGUAAUAUCUUAUAUGGGCAUCAUCUGUCAAUCUCAAAUUUUAUUAGACAAUCAUGAAAGGGUGUGCUGUUUUGUUUAAAAGUUUAUAUGUUUAGUUAUUGGUCAUUGGAUUUAAAGAAAUCUUAAGAUUUCUUUAAAUUGAAGAAAAGUUAGGUAAAAUGAUUAACACUAAAAUGAUGAUUAAUGAUGAUUAAUUGUUUAACUAGUCCCAUUUUCCCAGUUGCAGAAUCACUACAUACUAUUCUGAAUGUAAUGUUUGAUUAAAGAGAUGAGUCAAACUCUCUUGUUUAGUGGUGUAGUUAGAGCAAUCACUAUUGACUGCUUAUCACUUCUAGGCAGUCCUACCCAUGAAGAAGAACUGAGAGCUCCUCAAUUCAGAGCUUCCAGUGGGUUUUGUGGACACUACCUUUUCCUUUAUUCAAAGCCAUUUCUAAUAUAAAUGCUUAUCAUUUAUUGUUUACUUAUUUAUUUACUAGACCUCAUGAAUUGGAUUGGUCAUAAUCCUUCAUUCACAACACAUCAUCAUCCUCUUAGAUGUAGGAACUUUCUUUAUAUAGUUUGUGGGUUUUCUAAUGUACUUAUUAUAUAGUUUGUUUCUAAUGUACUUAUUAUAUAGUUGGUUUUCUAAUGUACUUAUUCUUAAUUCUAUAAUCAACAACCCCCAAAGCACUAUCUAAUCCAAGAGCUAGAAUAUUCUACCAAAAAUACUUUUUCCUAAGCACUUCUCCCAAUCCCACAUCCCUGCCAUUUCUCCAAAAAUAACCAAUACCUGAAUUUUAUAUCUAUUUCCUCCUUGUUCUUUAUGUAGGUGAGUUACUGCAUACAUUUGAUGCCUAAAAAAUAUUGUUUAGUUUUACCAGGUUGUGAGUUUCAAAACAAGAAUAUCAAACAAGAAUAUCAAACUGUAUGUUGUCUUUUGAGACUUACUUUAUUGAUUCAGCAAAAUGAUACUAAUGUUUAUCCAUGUUGUUGCAUGUAGCUAAACAUACUCUAUUGUGAAAAGAUACCAUAAUUUAUAUAUUUUCUGUCUAUAUGUUUUUGUAUUAUUUCCAUUUUGUUCCUUUAUGAUCAGUGCUAUUGUGUACAUGUUUUGGGGGACACAUGUACUAAGCUUUUCCUUGAAUUGAACUUGGAGUAGAAUUGCUAGAUUUUAAAGAAUGCAAAUGUCAGCUGUAUAUUGUUUUCCAACGCAGUUGUACCAGUUUAUAUUUCUACCAUCAAAGUAAAAGAAAAUCCUGGAUACACACUCCAUCCAACACUUGAUAUGGCCAGUCUGCUUUAUUUUGCUAUUGAAAAGUCAAGUUGAUAUUGUCUUCUUAAUUUUCAUUUCUUUCAUUAUCAAUAAAGAGGAAGUCAAACUGUCAC
rnacentral:lncRNA from 10 species